UACGUAGGUGGCAAGCGUUGUCCGGAAUUAUUGGGCGUAAAGCGCGCGCAGGCGGUCUUUUAAGUCAGAUGUGAAAUCCCCGGGCUUAACCUGGGAACUGCGUUUGAAACUGGAAGGCUUGAGUGUGGCAGAGGGGGGUGGAAUUCCACGUGUAGCGGUGAAAUGCGUAGAUAUGUGGAGGAACACCGAUGGCGAAGGCAGCCCCCUGGGCUAACACUGACGCUCAUGCACGAAAGCGUGGGGAGCAAACAGG
rnacentral:rRNA from 1 species